AUUAUAAAGGGCAUUCUCCGCGGCUGAAUUGAUUUUGAUUUCUCUGACUUCCUGCUGAACGGAAACGCCGACUGGUUUUCCCAGAAAGAGGUCGGCAGCCAUGAGUCCACUCGUUUUUUUAUCAAUUUUAUAAAAAAACAGCUUAAAUGAUGAAACAAAAACAAAUAAGAGGUUGUCAGCUUCAAUAUUAUUUGAGUGGACUGUAGCUACGAAUACUGUGAAGAUUCUCUGAUGGAUCACAGCUUUAAUACAAGGAUGCUGUGUGGAAGUCAGUGUAACACAAGCCUGGAAUAGGCUCUGGUUUCUUUACUGACCAUCCCCUUUCAUUCACUUCAGUGUGGACAUGAACACACAGUGACCACGAACGCAACACAGAAACCUGCAUUAAAGUCAAGUCAGAGUUCUCGUCUCUAAGAGCCAGUCAGUGUGAGAUCUGAGUCCCCUCCCCGCUACAGCCCUCCCUCCCCCUCCCAGAUACUGAGCUUUUUGUUCGCCAUCUAAUGUUUUCAUUAGGAAACUGGGCGCAACCAAGUCAUCGAGGGAAGGAUUAGAGAGCGAGGGAGCGAGCGCAGGGCAGAGAGGCAGAGAGGAAGAGAGGAGGAGAGGAAGAGGUGUGGAGGAGAAGAAAUCAGUUUGUUUCCCUGUCUGGUUCUGAAUUAGAGGAGAUUUGGAGGCUCUCUCUUUCUCUCACUCUGUCCUGUUCUCACCCUUUGUUUCCGUCGUCUGCGUCACCAGCUGCCCACCAGGUUUCGCCAUGAACCGCCCCUUCACCUCCUCGGUUGGACUCAUCUUGCUUCUGAUUGGCUACACUGCGGCAGGACCUGAACCUGACCUGCAGCCUCGAGCAGUGCGUUCAAGUGCCUGUCAAGAGCACACGGACCUCCACGGGCGCCUGGAUGCAGUGGAGAAGAAAGUGGAGGACACGGUUGAGAAUCUGGAGGCGGAGCUGACUGCUCUUCUGGAUGCCAUUGAGGCCCCGAAGUGGCGCCCCCUGUUGGACAGUAGAGGAAGGACAACUGUGGAUAUUCUGGAAGACCCGGGGCCGAGGGGCCGGUCGUAAACCAACCAGACAUUCAUGGAGGGGUGGAUUCAGGGGGGAUCUUAAACUUGGACAUUGAUGGCUCUGUUUCAAUGACUUCAAUACCAUUGUUUUUUAAACUGUGUGUAUGCAUAUACUGUAUCUGUAUAUCAAAAUGCUGUUUUAAUCUUAAAAGAGGAGAAAUAAGGACAAAGCUUGUGUGUAUUAUCUGCUCUUACUAAUCCUGUGACAGCCUCAGUCAUAGAGUCUUCCUCCUGCAGUCAAUAGUGGCACUGCUCAUGUAUACAAUGCUUUUUAAAGAGAGUAAUUCACUUUGGACAUCCCUGCUGUGUUAGCUCAUACCCCUGCGCUUCAUCGCCCUCUACUGUCUACCCUUAAGGCUUUUAUCUGAACGGAGAAGACAAAAAAAAAAAACGGUGAGACAACCAAAAUUACUGGAAGGAGAUUUAUUUCUUUAUCAAAGCAAGUUAAAGCAGCAUUUUUAUUUUUUAUUUUUUUAAACACACGGAGCAGUUUUCAGUUGGUACGGUAACAAGGCUUUUUCACCGACUCCCCAUUAAAAAUCCUGUAGCACAGAAACAUUAUGCAAAAUAGGAUCACAAGGAGGAAAAAGAGUGGCACAAAUCACAUGUUCUUCUUCUUCUUCUUCUUGAUUAGUUUUCUCGACAGGGCACUGAGUUUCAAACUGUAAUCCACAGAGUUAAGACAUCUACAGAAUGGAACACCUCGAGAGAAUCCGUCAGAAAAAACGGCUGAAUAGGAGACAUGCUGUCGCUGGUCAAAAACUAGCACAAAGCCUUUUUUUUCUUUUUUUUUUAAACACCUAACAGCAUCCAGAACAUUAACACAUAAAGGGGGACAUGUCAGGAGGGUUUGCAAGCACAGUCCAAUUAGGAAUGAUCACUGAUAUAUCGAGGAACAACUCCCAAACUGUGGGUUGGUAUUGUAACUUUGAGAAAAGCUUCACUUAAAUUAACCGUCAAAAUAAUUCUUUAUCCAUUUACAAAUGAUUAACAGAAAGACACAUCCACCUCACGCCUGUGUUGACUCGGAUGAUCUGUAGGCUGCUUUAAUGAGUCUUAGAAAUAACUGAGCCUUCUUUGCCACGAAUGGAGACAUUCAGUGUUUUUAAUAAUGCAGUAAAUUCUGUGCUGGGGUGAAGUGAAAACCUGCCCCAGUUCCAAAUAUUCUUCCUUUGCCGCACAGACGAUAAUGCAACAUUUAAAUCCCACAGAAGGAGCAUCACACACGACUGCUGACCUCAUUCCACUCAUCCAGCAAGGGUACGAGCCUGUAUACUUGACCAUUAAGCAUUAAGACAAUCUAUGGGAUGCCAAAAGGUACUGCAUAUCAUCUAAAAAUAUCAUGCCGUCCAUAUAACACUGGAAUUAUACGAUUUUUGUACAGUUUAAAGUUCACGAAACUCACUGUCCAGAAACAUUUACGCAGGCCAGUUAUACUCUGAUUUGGACUGUGUCUAUAAUCAGGUGAGCACUGAGGUAUGCUAAUUACCAAAAGCUUGUACAUGCACGAAACAGCCAGUAAGGCUCAAGCUCCAGGCUUUGGCAAAAACAAGCUUAUACUGUAAAGGUACAUGCAAAAAGAAGCACAGGGCUCAAGACUAGUAACUUCAUCACAUAUUUUGGCGGACUUGGAGGAUUGCCACUUUAUAUCCCUUUAAAGAAGCUUCUUAAUCUAAUCAUAAUGUAUGGUGUUUAAAGAAAUGGUUAAACAUUUUGGGAAACGCACUUACUAGCUUUAUUUCUGAGUGUGAGAUGAGAAGAUUGACACUGCACUCAUGUCUGUGUGUUAAGUAUGAAGCCGCAGCCAAGAGGCGGUUAGCCUAGCUUAGCAUGAAGGCUGUGAGACUCCGGAGGGACUCUGCUACAAGCUACAAGACGAGGAUCGGACGAUGGACCACAGAGGCAGCACCAUUUGCAGUAACAGAUGCUACCUCCAUCUCAUGUGACCAGUGGUAUUACGCAACAGGACGAGGCAGGGCUAGCGGGCAUCGUUCCUUCGCAUUCUGUUGAUAACAUUAGUUCAUUUUUUAAAUGUUUUAAAUUAAAAUUCAGGCCAGAUCUUGCACAUUACACCUUUAACUCAAGCUCAAAUAUAUUAAUAAGUGAGCUUUAGGUGGACUUGGUAAGUUGAUUUCUCACCUUGGACAGAAGCUUUAUAUUAAGCUAAUUGCCUCGCAGCUCCGGCUCCGUGUUUAACUCACAGACACAAGGGUGCAAUAAAUCUUCUCCUUUAAUUCUUGAAAAGAAAGCUAGUAGGUGUAUUUCCCAAACUGCCUGACUAUAACUUUAAGUUUCCCCCCCUUACCUGAAAUAGAUACUUUAUACAUUAUCACAAUAUGAUUGUAUAAAUGAUAGUAUUUUCACUUGCAGAAGGAACACUGACUUUAUGUUAUACUGGGAAAAAGAGACAUACAUUCACACACUCAAAGUUCCUUAGAAAUGGUUAUGCAAAUGGUAGAAAAGCUUUGGCAUAUUUUGCCUACAAGUUGUGCCUGCACACUUGGAAAGAAGAGCAGAGCGAAGCAGUGUGAAGCUUCACGCGGCUCUUCCUUUAGUUUAUACGUCGACUUUGCAGUCCCACAUAAAACUGUGGUGAGUUUAAUAACCUAUACUGUAUGCUAUUUACAUGGGUUUCAUUUUAUUAGGCCUUAGGGUUUUAAGGUGGACCUCUGCUACAUGUUCUCAGGUGUUCAGACUGAGAUUAAUGGCACCACCUUAAAGGUAACACUAUCACUACGACAGUAAUAGACUAGCUCAUCUGUACGAGUUGAAGUACCAGCAGGGCACAGCUACACAUUUAAGUACAGCCCAGAAACAAGCUCUACAGGGAGAUGAUCGUUAUACUAACCAAGCACUUAAAGAGAUGAUGACAUCUAGUGAAGCAAACAGAGCUUUCUAAUAGAUUCUUAAAGGAUGGGAUUGUUGGUGAUUGGUAUUCAAUCCCCAGAGCAGAGUUUCCGUAUGCUCUUUGAGCAUGGUGCAGGGCUAAAAUACUAAAUCUUGGUAACCAUUACAGACACAGUGACAAGUAAAACCGCUCAUUCUGAUUGCUGCACUGACUCCCCGUCAAUGACAGUACCUUAUCGUCCUUUAAAAAAAAAAAAAGCUUGCAAAAGUAACAGUUUGCUUCAAACUAGCAUUUUAAACUAUAACGCAUCCAUGGCUACGAUGUGAUUAACGAAUACUGAUUAUCAUCAACAGGCACCACUUUAAACAGGUUCACAACAUGAAACCAGCCACAUGUUCUUGGCUGACUGCAAAUUAACACUUACUGUAAAUGUGUCUCGGGAAGGUGUUGCAACAGGAGGAAGGUGCUCCGGGGGAAAUGGAGAACGGUUGCUCUGAAUUAGGGCAAACCUAACAUGAAACAGGGCCGAGGGGAAGAGUGAGCUGAAGACACAGGCAAUAAUAUAAAGUGAGUGCCUGCGUGUGCUGAAUAAUUCAGUCGUCCCCAUCAGAUUUGGAGCAGGAAGGCGGAGAGGGCGUCUCCACCGAAAACCAUCGACCCCUCCAAAAAACUGCCGACUGCUAUUGCUCGGGAUGUCGUCAUGCUCGCGGAGCUUUCUGCUUGUGAACAACACCUCCUAGUAAGUGAUACCUUAUUUGUCAUGCUAUACUGUAACAUUGCAUAGAAGUUAGAGCUUACUCUAGGGGGUACAGUAGGCGGGGACUCUCUGGAAAUCUGCUUCAUUCAUGCCUUACCGGAAGGAUGCUACAGAACAAAAAAAAUAAAAAAAAUAAGGAGGGGGGAAUGGUGGGAGCCGUGUUGGGUCCUGCUGUGCGUCAAGUCGGACCUGCUGUGCGUUUUCCUCCGCUCCUGGCUACAACAGAGGAGGGAGGUGAGAACGUAUCUAUUGGCAUGGCAGCAGCAGCCAGAGAGACCUGUGACAGU
ensembl:lncRNA